CAGUCGCCGCGGGAAUACGGAGGGGGCUAGCGUUGUUCGGAAUUACUGGGCGUAAAGCGCACGUAGGCGGCUUGGUAAGUUAGAGGUGAAAGCCCGGAGCUCAACUCCGGAAUUGCCUUUAAGACUGCCGAGCUAGUAGGUGAGAGAGGUAAGUGGAAUUCCGAGUGUAGAGGUGAAAUUCGUAGAUAUUCGGAAGAACACCAGUGGCGAAGGCGGCUUACUGGCUCAUUCUAGACGCUGAGGUGCGAAAGCGUGGGGAGCAACAGGAUUAGAGACCCCUGUAGUCCCUGUCUCUUAUACA
rnacentral:rRNA from 1 species